rnacentral:lncRNA from 1 species
AUGUGUGUGUGUGUAUGUGUGUGUGUGUGUGUGUGUGUGUGUGUGUGUGUGUGUGUGUGUGUGUGUGUGUGUGUGUGUGUGUGUGUGUGUGUGUGUGUGUGUGUGUGUGAUCCUGUCUGCUGUGUUUAUUCAGUGAGCUCCCCCUGGUGGCUUGUGGCGGUAGCAGCGGUCUGUGUCCCUGCGUGCACCUCAUCUCUGCUGCUGCUGUACUGCUGCCGUCGACGCAAGAGAGUACGGCGUGUGUUGAACAGACACCGUGGUGCAUAUCUCAGGGACAUGGCAGUUAAGACUCCGCUCUAUAUUAACUGCACGGAGGUGACACAUGUCUAUUGCAACGGCAGCUAUCAACUGGUUUACCAGAACGCCACGCCCCUCUUUGUACGCACCAAUCAGGCUCGGCCGAUAGGAAGAAGAGGAGGAGAGAGGCGCAUGCGAGCAAGAAGAGAGAGAGGAAGAAGAGAUGGAGCGACACGAAGGGAGACGAGCAGCAGAGAGGAAACGGAGACGGCCAUCUACGUUGAGAUCCUCUGACACUUCGCACAUCCAUAUGUUUAUAAUUUGAUUAAAGGACAACAUGUAACAUAAAGAGAAAUUAAAACAAUUCCGUUUUUAUUUUUUUAUUCAAAGACGACGCCACCUCUUGAUAUGAGUAAUCAUCAGGCCUUCAUGGUAGCAUCCUCCCCUUUGUGGUAUCAGAAAAACUCACUUUAUCUUAACAUUUCAACUGAUGAUGAUUUCUUAUUUCCCUUGACCAUUUGUUGUGGGGGUCGUCUGUCCCUCACAUGAACUUUUAUCCAUGUGGUCGUUGUGAGGUGUUGUGCAUUUCUGUAUACAUAAAAGAAAAACACUUAAAAGUCGAUUAUUUCCCAUGUGAAUAUGUUCAUGUGAUAACAAGAAUAUGCUAUAACUAUGAACAUUAUAUAAUACAUACAAUAUGACGUAUUAUACUCCAUAUAUAUAUAUAUAUAUAUAUAUAUAUAUAUAUAUAUAUAUAUAUAUAUAUAUAUAUAUAUAUAUAUAUAUAUAUAUAUAUAUAUCAGUUAGAAUAAAGGGGAAUAGGAAUAGGAAUUUGUGGUGAAUGUGCAAAUGUCUAAUAAGAACUAGAAAUUGAAUUUCCCUCAGAAAACGCGUGUGAAUGCUGACGGCUGAAUGAAAAGCGCCGAGCAUUGCUGAAAACAAAAAAUGUAAAAUCAAUGGAACUAAAGAAUCUGAAAGGUGUAGCAGUAGCUGAAGUAGUAGUUGUAGUUGAAGUAUAAGUAGUAGUAGCUGAAGUAGUAGUAGUAACUGAGGUAGUAGUAGUAGUAGCUGAAGUAGUAGUAGAAGCUGAAGUAGUAGAUAGUAGCUGAAGUAGUAGUACCAGCUGAAGUAGUAGGUAGUAGCUGAAGUAGUAUUAGUAUCGUUUGGAGUAGUAGUAAUGGUAGUAGUAGUAUUGGUAGGAGUAGUAAUGGAAGUAGUAGUAUUGGUAGGAGUAAAAUGUAAAUGUAAUAAGACCCGCCAUACACAGAAAUAUCAA